CAGAGUAGAGAAAUAAGCGACAGAAAGCAAGGGUCAAGAGGAUUAAUCAAAUUUGAUGAAAGGAAAAAUGGUGAUGAUGGAUCUUCAUUCGAAGAUGAAUCCAUGAGAAAAGAUGACGAUGAUGAUAGAGAAACAACAAUGUGCUCAGACGUUUUUGUAUAUUUUUCUGCAAACUUCCAUCCAUCAUCUGUUCGUGUUGGAAAAGAAGAAAGUAAAAUGCUCAAUGGUGAAAAAGGUACGGUUCAGAUCAACGUCUGAAUAACAGUUACGUCUAGAAGGAUUUCUUUAUCUUGCAACCACUGUACUUUCAUUGUGUAUGAAGUACUGUACCUGUGACGAUA